CCUGCUGUAACUAAUAAACCAUGAGUAGUGACUUUGAACUAUGAGGAUAAACGAAGUAACAGAGAAGUGAACUAUUUAGAGGUUCUUCGAACACGCCGACUUUAACGACGUGUACCUAACCAUAUGUAAACGACGGGUAAGUAGGUAACGAAAACCAGUCACCUGUGGGGAGCGAGUGGUCGUCUGUCUGUCCACAUUGGUUUCUAUUCCAGGCCCUGUCUGUACCGUACCGGUGACGAGGUCGAGGACGAGUAGCGGCGGUGGUGGUGACGUCGCCGCAGCAGGAGUCGCUGCUGCGGACUGCCCGGCCGCGGUACCGGCCUCGUCAAGGUGCGCCACGACAAGUGCUUGGACUGGUUGCAGAGCAAGCGUAGCUGCUCGGGUGGCGAGGCGGACGUGCUGGAGAUGAUGCUGACCGGCGCCGCCGCGUUGGACUUGGACUAGGCCAUGGUCGACAGGGCGCUGGGCGACAUGCUGCACCUCACCUUGUUGCCGUGGUCGAAGAUGAAGCUGAGCCGGUGGACGGCGUGCGACGUCAAGGGGCAGCCGUACGAGGCGGGGCCCACCUAGCGGCUCCCGCCGCGGCAGAUGGAGCCGGCGCUCUGGUGGCCGCCCUAGCUGACGGUGCAGACCCCGUUCCGACUGAAGUAGCAGAUGAUGCUCCUGCGUGAGUGCGCGGCGGGGCAGGCGACCUUGAAGUAACUACACUGCCCCUAUCUCGUCAAACACUACUCGAAGCUCCACCCGCACCACGACCUUCUGCUAAGCGUCACCGUCCGUGGGCGCGUGACGAAGGACCUGCUGCGUCGGUUGUUCUGGUUGCUCGUGCUGCUAGUACAGCGACAAAGCUUACCGCAGUACCUGCGCGAGUCCGAUAAGUCCUUCAAACGACCUCGACGGCGGCGGAUGACUAUUACAGACUUAUACUUAUGAACCACAAAAAAAAAGUGUGGAACGAUGACCCCUUUACCAAGUAGGUUGGUAACGAUGACCCCUACCGUGAGACCUUUUUGAGUGCGACAAGUCAAAUUAAAGAAAACAUGGUUUCAAAUGGACAAAAAAGAGGGUACCUGUUCAUGACUAGUGUUCCGUUGAUAACUCACACUGAAUAUCGAAUGAAUUUCUAUUGUGGAAAGACGGACGUAGGUAG
rnacentral:rRNA from 1 species